UGCCCUUGAAAAAACGGCCAAUAACCCCCUAUCACCCCUAUGCCAAAAUGGUUUGGUCUUUGGAGAAGAAAAAAGACGACAUCAUUCCAUUAGUGGUCAGUGCGCGAGUUGAUUCAACAUGCACAAGUCAGGAGCCCUGAAAAAAAAAGAAAGGCGAAAAAGAGAGGAAGAAGCCGAAAGCCUGAGGGGAUCUCUUUAUAAAUAUUUAUAAAUAUUUCAGAAAAGACUCAGGUGAUGCUGCAGCCGGUACCAGUAAAGGCAGCUGUGCAGCACAGCCAGCCCUUUUUAUCGAAAUAUGUUCACCUUUAUAGGAGAGGCUAGAGAGGAUGAGAGAGAAGAAGAACAGGCUACCAAACAGGAUGAGAGAGAGGAAGAACAGGCUACCAAAGAGGAUGAGAGAGAGGAUGAACAGGCUACCAGUGAGAUAGAGGAAGAACAGGCUACCAGUGAGAGAGAAGGGGAGGAGAGUGAAGGGAGAGAGAGAGAAAGACACAGCUACCAAACAGGAUGAGAGAGAGGAAGAACAGGCUACCAAAGAGGAUGAGAGAGAGGAUGAACAGGCUACCAGUGAGAUAGAGGAAGAACAGGCUACCAGUGAGAGAGAAGGGGAGGAGAGUGAAGGGAGAGAGAGAGAAAGACACAGUGAUAUUCAGGAGGAGUGGAUCCAUCCCCCAGAGUAGAGGAAGAGUCAGAGGUGGGGGGGGCCCAUUGAGGGAAUUUUGUCCCGGGCCCAGCCAAACCUGUCAGCGGCCCUGGGUAUAACUGCAAUAAAAUACUCUAAGCAGGGGAAGUUAUCUCCUACAUUCACACAUUCAUAAAAUUCCCCCUGCGCGCUCGCGCUCUGCCCUGUCUCUACGAAGCACGAAGCUGCCCCUGCAUCUCUGCACGUAAGAUGGCGGGCCGAGACCCUCCUUCUCGCGUGUGUGUGCGUGCGUGUGCGUGUGCGUGUGUGUGUCCAGUCCUCACAUAUUAAAGCUAUACUGUACGAUGUGAGAGAGCUAGCAUGAUUUGAAAUUAGCUUCUCUUCGGAGUUCCGUUUAACUCCUCCCCCACCCUUCAGGACUCCCUGCCCCCACCCCUCGACACAGAGCCGUGCACGAGCGCUGCUGCUGCUUACGGCUUACUUCAACGGCAACCAUUGCGUCACUUUUCAGGCCAUUCAACUCCCUCAGCUGUCGCCAUCGCUGAAAAGCGAAUCCAAUAUUUAUUCUCGUUUUUCCUCGAGCAUUCUCCAACUUUUUUUUUGUUGCUGCCUUUUCAUUUUCUGUCUUUCUUUUUCUUGCCUUUUUAAAAGGAUGAACCGCGGCAAGUAACGGUGGCAGUGGUAACUUCUGUUUUUUUUCUUCCAUCGUGUUAACGUUGUAGGCUCACUAGGUCUAGUCCACUGUCAUGAACUACUAUGAUAACAACGCUUUCUUUGC
ensembl:lncRNA